rnacentral:rRNA from 1 species
CCCGCGUAUAUCCCCGAGGGGCAUCCCUGGGGGAGGAAAGCUCCGGCGGACGGGGAUGGGCAUGCGGCGCAUUAGCUAGACGGCGGGGUGACGGCCCACCGUGGCGACGAUGCGUAGGGGUUCUGAGAGGAAGGUCCCCCACACUGGUACUGAGACACGGACCAGACUCCUACGGGAGGCAGCAGUGAGGAAUAUUGGUCAAUGGCCGGAAGGCUGAACCAGCCAAGCCGCGUGAGGGAAGACGGCCCUACGGGUUGUAAACCUCUUUAGCCGGGGAACAAGGCGCGGGACGAGUCCCGCUGUGAGCGUACCCGGAGAAUAAGCAUCGGCUAACUCCGUGCCAGCAGCCGCGGUAAUACGGAGGAUGCGAGCGUUAUCCGGAUUUAUUGGGUUUAAAGGGUGCGUAGGCGGUUGCUUAAGUCAGCGGUCAAAUGGCGGGGCCCAACCCCGUCCAGCCGUUGAAACUGGGUGGCUUGAGUCGGCGAGAAGUACGCGGAAUGCGCGGUGUAGCGGUGAAAUGCAUAGAUAUCGCGCAGAACUCCGAUUGCGAAGGCAGCGUACCGGCGCCG